rnacentral:rRNA from 1 species
GACGAACGCUGGCGGCGUGCUUAACACAUGCAAGUCGAACGGUAAGGCCCUUCGGGGUACACGAGUGGCGAACGGGUGAGUAACACGUGGGUGAUCUGCCCUGCACUUCGGGAUAAGCCUGGGAAACAGGGUCUAAUACCGGAUAGGACUCCGGACUGCAUGGUCUGGGGUGGAAAGCUUUUGCGGUGUGGGAUGGUCCCGCGGCCUAGCAGCUUGUUGGUGGGGUGAUGGCCUACCAAGGCGACGACGGGUAGCCGGCCUGAGAGGGUGACCGGCCACACUGGGACUGAGAUACGGCCCAGCCUCCUACGGGAGGCAGCAGUGGGGAAUAUUGCACAAUGGGCGCAAGCCUGAUGCAGCGACGCCGCGUGAGGGAUGACGGCCUUCGGGUUGUAAACCUCUUUCAGCAUCGACGAAGCGAAAGUGACGGUAGGUGCAGAAGAAGGACCGGCCAACUACGUGCCAGCCGCCGCAGUAA